GUGGUUGUGGCUCAGUGGUAAGAGUGCUUGCCUAGUGCGUGUGAGGCCCUGGGUUCGAUCCUCAGCACCACA
rnacentral:tRNA from 1 species